GACGAACGCUGGCGGCGUGCCUAAUACAUGCAAGUUGAGCGCUGAAGGUUGGUUCUUGUACCGACUGGAUGAGCAGCGAACGGGUGAGUAACGCGUGGGGAAUCUGCCUUUGAGCGGGGGACAACAUUUGGAAACUAAUGCUAAUACCGCAUAAAAACUUUAAACACAAGUUUUAAGUUUGAAAGAUGCAAUUGCAUCACUCAAAGAUGAUCCCGCGUUGUAUUAGCUAGUUGGUGAGGUAAAGGCUCACCAAGGCGAUGGUACAUAGCCGACCUGAGAGGGAGAUCGGCAACAAUGGGACUGAGACACGGCCCAAGCUCCUACGGGAAGCAGCAGUAGGGAAUCUUCGGAAAAGGACGAAAGGCUGAACGAGCAACGCCGCGUGAGUGAAGAAGGUUUUCGGAUCGUAAAACUCUGUUGGUAGAGAAGAACGGGGGGGAGAGUGGAAAGCUCAUCAAGUGACGGUAACUACCCAGAAAGGGACGGCUAACUACGUG
rnacentral:rRNA from 1 species